AUGAACGCUGGCGGCGUGCCUAACACAUGCAAGUCGAACGUUAGGGGAUAGCAAUAUCUCUGAAAGUGGCGAACGGGUGAGUAACACGUAGGUAACCUGCCGCGCAGAGGGGGAUAACGACUAGAAAUGGUCGCUAACACCGCAUGGUACUAGAUGGGGGGGACCCUAACUGGUUAAAACCUUGGUGCUGCGCGAGGGGCCUGCGUCCGAUUAGUUAGUUGGUGAGGUAAUGGCUCACCAAGACGAUGAUCGGUGGCUGGUCUGAGAGGAUGAUCAGUCACACGGGAACUGAGACACGGUCCCGACUCCUACGGGGGGCAGCAGUGAGGAAUAUUGCACAAUGGACGCAAGUCUGAUGCAGCAACGCCGCGUGGAGGAUGAAGGCCCUUGGGUCGUAAACUCCUUUUUUCAGGGAAGAGAGAGGACGGUACCUGAAGAAUAAGUCACGGCUAACUACGU
rnacentral:rRNA from 1 species